UUAAAGUAGUAAUAGUUAUGUUCUUGAAACUUAAAAAAUUUGGCGGUAUUUUAGUCUAUUCAGAGGAACCUGUCCUAUAAUCGAUAAUCCACGUUGGACCUUACUUAAGUUUGUAAAUCAGUUUGUAUACCGUCGUUAUAAGAAUAUUUUAUUAGAAUAAUAAUUUUCUAGAAUUUUUAUAAAAAUUUAUAUCAGAUCAAGGUGCAGCUUAUAUUUAAGAAGAGAUGGGUUACAAUAAAUUUAUUUAUAUGAAUUAAUUUUUGAAAUAAAAUUAUGAAGGUGGAUUUGAAUGUAAAAUUAUAAAGAUAAAUAAUUUGAUUUUAGCU
rnacentral:rRNA from 1 species